UGGCUUGAACCAAUACUUAGAAAGUUGCCUAAGAGUGUUUUCACCUAUCCUUAAUUGUGUUUUUGUUUAUCAUCUGUCUUCCAGAAUGUGAUUUCCAUGACAACAAUGACCUUUCUGCAUUGUUUACUCCUGUGAUCCAGAACAGUGCCUGGCACUUGUGGAAUUCCAGGAUCCCACAUGUUUGCCUCUGCCUCUGCCUGAGAGCUCCAGCUAGUGCCUGGGUUAUGUAAACUAGAGACAUAUGGCUGAGAUGGUAAUUCUCACAUAGUUCUUUUUCCCCUGGUGAUUAACAAACUUCAAAUUACCACCCACAGUUGAUCAGGAAACACUGAAAAAUGACAACCAGUUCUGGUAUUCACCCAGGGCACACCCAUCCUGCCACACUGGAAGUUAAG